rnacentral:rRNA from 1 species
UCGAGCGAGCACUUUUUUGAACUCUUCGGAGGGAAGAGAGGGUGACUUAGCGGCGGACGGGUGAGUAACGCGUGGGCAACCUGCCUUACACAGGGGAUAACAAUUAGAAAUGAUUGCUAAUACCGCAUAAGACCACGGUACUGCAUGGUACAGAGGUAAAAACUGAGGUGGUGUAAGAUGGGCCCGCGUCUGAUUAGGUAGUUGGUGGGGUAGAAGCCUACCAAGCCGACGAUCAGUAGCCGACCUGAGAGGGCGACCGGCCACAUUGGGACUGAGACACGGCCCAAACUCCUACGGGAGGCAGCAGUGGGGAAUAUUGCACAAUGGGGGAAACCCUGAUGCAGCGACGCCGCGUGAGUGAGGAAGUAUUUCGGUAUGUAAAGCUCUAUCAGCAGGGAAGAAAAUGACGGUACCUGACUAAGAAGCCCCGGCUAACUACGUGCCAGCAGCCGCGGUAAUACGUAGGGGGCAAGCGUUAUCCGGAUUUACUGGAUGUAAAGGGAGCGUAGACGGACUUGCAAGUCUGAUGUGAAAAUCCGGGGCCCAACCCCGGAACUGCAUUGGAAACUGUAUAUCUAGAGUGUCGGAGAGGCAAGUGGAAUUCCUGGUGUAGCGGUGAAAUGCGUAGAUAUCAGGAGGAACACCAGUGGCGAAGGCGGCUUGCUGGACGAUGACUGACGUUGAGGCUCGAAAGCGUGGGGAGCAAACAGGAUUAGAUACCCUGGU